CUGCUUUAGUUGCUAUAGCGAUCCUAACUUGUGUAAUACAUCAUAGGUUCCUCAGCAAGAAACGGGACCUCAGCAAGAAACGGGACCUCUACAAGAAACAGGACCUCUACAAGAAACAGGACCUCUACAAGUCACCAGUAACUCCCUAGUGAAAACAGCAGAGAAUGUGCCUGGUGAUGUUGUAAGUGAUUGACAGUCCAGAGUGAAAACAGCAGAGAAUGUGCCUGGUAAUGUUGUAACUGAUUGACAGUCCAGAGUGAAAACAGCAGAGAAUGUGCCUGGUAAUGUUGUAACUGAUAGACAGUCCAGAGUGAAAACAGCAGAGAAUGUGCCUGGUAAUGUUGUAACUGAUAGACAGUCCAGAGUGAAAACAGCAGAGAAUGUGCCUGGUAAUGUUGUAACUGAUAGACAGUCCAGAGUGAAAACAGCAGAGAAUGUGCCUGGUAAUGUUGUAACUGAUUGACAGUCCAGAGUGAAAACAGCAGAGAAUGUGCCUGGUAAUGUUGUAACUGAUUGACAGUCCAGAGUGAAAACAGCAGAGAAUGUGCCUGGUAAUGUUGUAACUGAUUGACAGUCCAGAGUGAAAACAGCAGAGAAUGUGCCUGGUGAUGUUGUAACUGAUUGACAGUCCAGAGUGAAAACAGCAGAGAAUGUGCCUGGUAAUGUUGUAACUGAUUGACAGUCCAGAGUGAAAACAGCAGAGAAUGUGCCUGGUAAUGUUGUAACUGAUUGACAGUCCAGAGUGAAAACAGCAGAGAAUGUGCCUGGUAAUGUUGUAACUGAUUGACAGUCCAGAGUGAAAACAGCAGAGAAUAUGCCUGGUGAUGUUGUAACUGAUUGACAGUCCAGAGUGAAAACAGCAGAGAAUGUGCCUGGUAAUGUUGUAACUGAUUGACAGUCCAGAGUGAAAACAGCAGAGAAUGUGCCUGGUAAUGUUGUAAGUGAUUGACAGUCAGCAUCCACUAAACUCUGAUGAAGUGCCAUGAAUGCAUGCAGAUACCCAGAAGGCUGUAAAACUGGAGCAUGCAGAUACCCAGAAGGCUGUAAAACUGGAGCAUGCAGAUACAGUAUAGGCAGGAGAUUACAUGAAUCCAGUACUUAUGAACUGCAAUGCAUUUGCACCUGCAUUUUGACUAUUAAGUGUACUUAUCUGGAGUGGACUGUUGAAUACAGUGAAUGCCAAGAGUGUGCAAAGCUGCCAUCAAGGCAAAGGGUGGCUACUUUGAAGAAUCUCAAAUAUAAAAUGUAUUUGUACUUUUUGGUUACUACAUGAUUCCAUGUGUGUUAUUUCAAAGUGUUAAUGUCUUCACUAUUAUUCUACAAUGUAGAAAAUAGUAAAAAUACAGAAAAACCCUGGAAUGAGUAGGUGUGUCCAAACUUGACUGGUGCUGUAUGUGUAUAAAAAGUAUACAGUAAAGUAUUUGGUCCCAUAUUCAUAGCACACAAUGACUACAACAAGCUUGUUUGUUUUGGUUGUGUUUCAGAUUAUUUUGUGCCCAGUAGAAAUAAAUGGUAAAUAAUG